rnacentral:rRNA from 1 species
CGUCAAAUCAUCAUGGCCCUUAUGUCCUGGGCUACACACGUGCUACAAUGGCCGGUACAGCGCGUUGCCACACGGCGACGUGGAGCCAAUCGCUGAAAGCCGGUCUCAGUUCGGAUUGGAGUCUGAAACCCGACUCCAUGAAGGUGGAAUCGCUAGUAAUCGCGCAUCAGCAUGCCGCGGUGAAUACGUUCCCGGGCCUU